rnacentral:rRNA from 1 species
UGCAGGCCCGGCCGGCGCCGGCCGACCACCAACCCACUUCUUAAGGUUGACCUCGGAUCAGGUAGGGAUACCCGCUGAACUUAAGCAUAUCAAUAAGCGGAGGAAAAGAAACCAACAGGGAUUGCCCCAGUAACGGCGAGUGAAGCGGCAAGAGCUCAAAUUUGAAAGCUGGCCCCCCCGGGGUCCGCGUUGUAAUUUGCAGAGGAUGCUUCGGAUGCGGCCCCCGUCUAAGUGCCCUGGAAGGGGCCGUCAUAGAGGGUGAGAAUCCCGUCUGGGACGGGGUGUCCGCGUCCGUGUGAAGCUCCUUCGACGAGUCGAGUUGUUUGGGAAUGCAGCUCUAAAUGGGUGGUAAAUUUCAUCUAAAGCUAAAUACUGGCCGGAGACCGAUAGCGCACAAGUAGAGUGAUCGAAAGAUGAAAAGCACUUUGAAAAGAGAGUUAAACAGCACGUGAAAUUGUUGAAAGGGAAGCGUUUGCGACCAGACUCGCCCGCGGGGUUCAGCCGGCACUCGUGCCGGUGUACUUCCCCGCGGGCGGGCCAGCGUCGGUUUGGGCGGCCGGUCAAAGGCCCUCGGAAUGUGUCACCCCCCGGGGUGUCUUAUAGCCGAGGGUGCAAUGCGGCCUGC